UCUCCCGGAAGGAAUUGAGGAACGCAUUAAGCAACGCUACGUGGCGCGUUUUGAAAAAUCAAUCGAUUCUUCUCUGUUUCGCGACCCUCCCUGCCGUUAUCGUCAUCUGGAUAAUUAUCUCCACUGGCGCGACUUUGGGCUGGAGAGAUGGUCACUGGCCUGGAGAAAUCACCGGACCUCUCUUCCUCCUUUGGUAUGUUUCUUCUUCUUCGUUUUUCCUUUCAAUUCUGAGAG